CCCCUCCCCUGCUCGUGCUCUCUCUUUCUCUCUCUCUCUCCUCCCCUCUCUUUCAAAAAUAAAUAAACAUUAAAAAAAAAAAAAAAAAAAGGAAAAACGUAAAGCCAGUUCAGAGGUCAAUGUAGAUUUUUUCCCCUAGACGAAUACAGUGUUGAAACGAGAAGAAGUCUGGCCGGCUGCCAUACGUCUCCCUAACUCUUCUCCCACGGACGUUAAAAUAGGCCACGAGACAAAUCAGAGAACGUAUCGCUCGCUCCAAUACAGAGGGACUGAAUUCUUCUCCAAUCUGACAAGACGCUCUUCUGAUUGGGGGGUUGGUGCAUGGAGAAUGACGAUUAAUUUAAAAAUCUUAAGAGCCCUUUCGGUGUGCUGGAAUUUUUAAGUGCACCAUUUAAGGUCCUUGGUUUCUGCAUUUUAAGGAGAUU